UUUGUACUCCCUCCGUCCCAAAAUUAUUGUCUUGGUUCUGUUUAGAUGUGGAUGCAUCUAGUCACGUUUUAGUAUCUAGAUGCAUUCAUAUAUAGAAAAAUCUAAGACAAGAAUUUUGGGAUAGAGGGAGUACUGA
rnacentral:pre_miRNA from 1 species